CAACCUCUAGUCUUCAGUAAUGAACCUGGACCCUCAGAAACAGAACAGAGAGCAGAGUCUCCAGUCCCCAGCUGUCUGUCUCUGAAGAGUGACGGGUCUAAAUACUGGCUUCCUCCAGUCUUCAGUAAUGAACCUGGACCCUCAGACACAAAACAGAGAGCAGAGUCUCCAGUCCCCAGCUGUCUGUCUCUGAAGAGUGACCGGUCUAAAGACUUUCCUCCAGACUUCAGUGAUGAACCUGGACCCUCAGACACAGAAGGGAAGAGGAGAAGUCCUGCCAGUCAGACCAGCUCUGUACG